rnacentral:lncRNA from 1 species
AUGGUGGGAGGUGGCACCUAUUUUAUUUUUAUGAUGAGAGGGAACCUCAAACUCUACUGUGAUGUAAGUGGUCUCAAAGGCCCUUUGAAGUCACCAUUUUAUCUAAAUCAGAAAUAGGAAAAAAAUAAGAAAUGGCCAGCUUAGAAAGACUCAAAUUCUUUUGCGGGGGGAAAAACCAGGAAGAAAGAAAAGAAAAAUACAUUGUUUCCUUGGCCAUCUGUGUGAAGAAAUAACAAAACCACCGUUGACAUACCAGCAGGAAAGAACACUGGAGAGCUUCACUUGACAGAAUUAUUACAAACGCCUCUUCCUGGUUCAGGGGGAAAAAAAAUUCCAAAUAGGUUUGUGAUAUUUUUUUCCCUAGCAUGCUUGCAACUCCCAGUAGAGCCAAUAACCAGUUUUCAAAACCUUUUGAUUCUACUCAUCCCCUGGUUAAUAAUUUCCAGUUUACCCAGCAGGCUACGUAACAUCCCCUUUCCUGGGAAAGAAUUUCUGUGCCCCGGCUGGCAGUGAACUGGUCCCCUUAGCAGCUGACCUCCUCCUCCAGCCCUGUGGCUGCCUCCUCUCCAACAGGGACCCUCCUGGUGAAAGAAAAAGAGACUUGGUAAUUCACUGAGCAUCACCCAAGACCGGGCGCAGACCUACACCCUGGCGUAUAAAAGACGUAGUACUCACGUCAUUCCUGUUUCACAGAUGCACAGACUUACUCUUGGAGAGGCUCCUCCCAAAAGUCACCCAGCUGAUUUUCAUCCACUUGGCUCCCCAAGUUGCUGCUCGACCGCUCUCUGACCUGGAUUCACUGAGGACACAUCAGGCCUUUGCCACGGGCUCCAUGGAGUGGCCGGAGCCCAGGGCUGGAGGAACUCAUGCACAUGUGUCCUGGAGACCUGCAAGAGGACAGCACCAUGGAGAUGACCAGCAACUAAUACCACCCAAAGGUCCAC